CUACGGGUUGCUCCAGUAGGGAAUCUUAGACAGUGGGGGAAACCCUGAUCUAGCCAUGCCGCGUGAGUGAUGAAGGCCUUAGGGUUGUAAAGCUCUUUCGCUGGGGAAGAUAAUGACGGUACCCAGUAAAGAAACCCCGGCUAACUCCGUGCCAGCAGCCGCGGUAAUACGGAGGGGGUUAGCGUUGUUCGGAAUUACUGGGCGUAAAGCGCGCGUAGGCGGGCUAUUAAGUCAGGGGUGAAAUCCCGGGGCUCAACCCCGGAACUGCCUUUGAUACUGGUAGUCUUGAGUUCGAGAGAGGUGAGUGGAAUUCCGAGUGUAGAGGUGAAAUUCGUAGAUAUUCGGAGGAACAUCAGUGGCGAAGGCGACUCACUGGCCCGAUACUGACGCUGAGGUGCGAAAGUGUGGGGAGCAAACAGGAUUAGAUACCCUGGUAGUC
rnacentral:rRNA from 1 species